CCUCCGGGUUGUAAAGCACUUUUGUCAGGAACGAAACGGGUUGGGCUAAUAUCCUGAUCUAAUGACGGUACCUGAAGAAUAAGCACCGGCUAACUACGUGC
rnacentral:rRNA from 1 species